rnacentral:rRNA from 1 species
CUAACCUUUAUGGAGGGAGCCGCCUAAGGCGGGACAGAUGACUGGGGUGAAGUCGUAACAAGGUAGCCGUAGGAGAACCUGCGGCUGGAUCACCUCCUUUCUAAGGAA